AGAGUUUGAUCAUGGCUCAGAUUGAACGCUGGCGGCAUGCCUUACACAUGCAAGUCGAGCGGCAGCGCGGGGGCAACCCUGGCGGCGAGCGGCGGACGGGUGAGUAAUACAUCGGAACGUGUCCUGUCGUGGGGGAUAACCAGUCGAAAGACUGGCUAAUACCGCAUGAGAUCUCACGAUGAAAGCGGGGGACCGCAAGGCCUCGCGCGACUGGAGCGGCCGAUGUCGGAUUAGCUAGUUGGCGGGGUAAAAGCCCACCAAGGCUACGAUCCGUAGCUGGUUUGAGAGAACGACCAGCCACACUGGGACUGAGACACGGCCCAGACUCCUACGGGAGGCAGCAGUGGGGAAUUUUGGACAAUGGGGGCAACCCUGAUCCAGCCAUGCCGCGUGUGUGAAGAAGGCCUUCGGGUUGUAAAGCACUUUCGGCCGGAACGAAAUCGCGCGGGUGAACAUCCCGCGUGGAUGACGGUACCGAAGAAGAGACCCG
rnacentral:rRNA from 1 species